rnacentral:lncRNA from 1 species
CACCUAGACUGUUGUUCUUCUGACAGCAAAAUAAAUUCCCCUCUACUACAUUCCCAUAUGUAUGGGAGUUCUUCGUGGACGCAACUAUGCAGGGGAAGAGAUGGACCAAGAGUUGUUCUGGGUAAGCCGCCUGGGAAAUCAAUUGUUCCUUCACUCAUUUACUCAUUUACUCAUACAAGUAUUUUACUUGUUUUUCACCGCACUGUGCUAGACUCCUUUGAGAGAAAAGGGCGUGAUCUAAUGUAGUAUAAACUAAAGGUCCUACUUUUAAUGCAUUUAUGAUCUUAGUUGAAAACACGUGAUAUCCUCUUAUAAAAACGAGACAAAAUUUGGUGUUCCAAACAAAGUCUCCAGGUAAAGAAGCCAAUUGUCCCGGAUGUCCUUCUUCACUUUUGGCACUUUCUGGCUUAUUUCAAACAUGCAUUGAAUGACAACGGACCCACCACCAGCUGGAGAUUUGGCAGGAGAAAAUCAAAAGUCCAGGUUCUCUUCCUCCGCCCUUCUCUAUUCCCUCUCCUGGAAUGUGUAGCUAUGGUAACAGCAGAAGGCAGAUAAAGGAAGAGAAGCUCCCAUUUCACCUCCAUCCCAUGGAGGAGAUAGAUGCACCUAGAUUGGCUGGUUUGGUAGUUUGGACUGGGCCACGUAUAAGUAGAGUUGGACUUGGGCCUAGAUCUGCUCGCUGGUCUACAUUGCUCUGGGGACUCUCAGAUCUUUUUCUAGUUUCCUGUCCAAAGACCAUCCAAGAGAUCCCCGUAAAAUGAAGGAGCCAACCAAAGAAACAGACCAGAGCAUCAGGGGAACAGAUUAGAAGAUACAGAAACAACUCCAGACACACUCAGCCACCUUGUCUUUGAUAAAGGAGCCAAACACCCUCACCAGAGGAAAGAUAGCCUCUUUAAUAAAUGGUGCUGGAAAAACUGGGUUUCAACUUGCCAAAGAUUAAAACUAG